GACGAACCGUGCGAACGUUGUUCGGAAUCACUGGGCUUAAAGGGCGCGUAGGCGGGCCGCAUAGCCAAGGGUGAAAUCCCCCGGCUCAACCGGGGAAGGGCCUUUGGAACUGGCGGCCUCGAGGGGUGCAGGGGCGUGCGGAACUCAGGGUGGAGCGGUGAAAUGCGUAGAUAUCCUGAGGAACACCGGUGGCGAAGGCGGCACGCUGGACACCUGCUGACGCUGAGGCGCGAAAGCCAGGGGAGCAAACGGG
rnacentral:rRNA from 1 species